UACGGAGGAUCCAAGCGUUAUCCGGAAUCAUUGGGUUUAAAGGGUCCGUAGGCGGUCUUAUAAGUCAGUGGUGAAAUCUCUCCGCUCAACGGGGAAACGGCCAUUGAUACUGUAAGACUUGAAUUAUUGGGAAGUAACUAGAAUAUGUAGUGUAGCGGUGAAAUGCUUAGAUAUUACAUGGAAUACCGAUUGCGAAGGCAGGUUACUACCAAUGGAUUGACGCUGAUGGACGAAAGCGUGGGAGCGAACAGG
rnacentral:rRNA from 1 species